GCAGGGCGCGGUGGUGCCCGCCUGUAACCCCAGCAGCUCGGGAGGCUGAGGCAGGAGGAUCACGAGUUCAAAGACAGCCUCCGCAACUUGGUGAGGCGCUAAGCAACUCAGGGAGACCCAGUCUCUA
rnacentral:sRNA from 1 species